UGGUUUCGACUUGGAAGCAAAGUACCGGUGGCAUGCAGAGGAUUCGGUUGGCCUCUUAAAAAAGCCGAGACGACAUAACUGUCAAAACAAACAAAACCACAAGCAUCGCUUCUCACCCUGGUUUCACUACUGGGGAAGAGUUCGCUGCUGCGGCCGCUGCUUAAGACCUAACCCGUCUGUUGUAGCCGAUAGCCUGGGAUUAGACCAAGGAUCCUGGAACUAUCGUCAAAGAUCUUGGUAUGAGGCAGAGCUGCUUGAUUUCCAGCGGCGCUGUUUCGAGAUUAAAGGAAGUGUGCAAGUCCCUAGUGGGGUGUCUUACAGCAAGAUUUGCACUAUCAUAAGGCACUAAGCAUGUAGGCAUUGAUAUGGCGUUUGCUAAGGACGAGAGUUCGAAUCUCUCCACCUCCA
rnacentral:tmRNA from 1 species